rnacentral:rRNA from 1 species
CAGCAGCCGCGGUAAUACGUAGGUGGCAAGCGUUGUCCGGAAUUAUUGGGCGUAAAGGGCUCGCAGGCGGUUUCUUAAGUCUGAUGUGAAAGCCCCCGGCUCAACCGGGGAGGGUCAUUGGAAACUGGGAAACUUGAGUGCAGAAGAGGAGAGUGGAAUUCCACGUGUAGCGGUGAAAUGCGUAGAGAUGUGGAGGAACACCAGUGGCGAAGGCGACUCUCUGGUCUGUAACUGACGCUGAGGAGGGAAAGCGUGGGGAGCGAACAGGAUUAGAUACCCCUGUAGUCCCUGUCUCUUAUAC